GUGGGGAAUUUUGGACAAUGGGCGCAAGCCUGAUCCAGCAAUGCAGCGUGCUGGAAGAAGGCCUUCGGGUUGUAAACUGCUUUUGUACGGAACGAAAAGGUUCUCUCUAAUACAGGGGGCUGAUGACGGUACCGUAAGAAUAAGCACCGGCUAACUACGUGCCAGCAGCCGCGGUAAUACGUAGGGUGCAAGCGUUAAUCGGAAUUACUGGGCGUAAAGCGUGCGCAGGCGGUGAUGUAAGACAGAUGUGAAAUCCCCGGGCUCAACCUGGGAACUGCAUUUGUGACUGCAUUGCUGGAGUGCGGCAGAGGGGGAUGGAAUUCCGCGUGUAGCAGUGAAAUGCGUAGAUAUGCGGAGGAACACCGAUGGCGAAGGCAAUCCCCUGGGCCUGCACUGACGCUCAUGCACGAAAGCGUGGGGAGCAAACAGGAUUAGAUACCCUAGUAGUCC
rnacentral:rRNA from 1 species